UUCCUCUCUGCCCCUUGCCCAAUCCACUCCUCUUCUGUGUCUGUUCAGAAAGGGACAGACUUACCAUGGGUAUCAACGAAGUAUGGCAUAUCAAGUUGUGAAAGCCAACUUUGAGAGUAAGAAAGUCCUUCCUGAAACAGAUUCCUACUUGUUUAUUUCAAGUAUUUUCCAAAAUGUCCUCUGAAACAGCACUUCUUGGUCUAGGCUGCUCUCCCAAUUCUAUGAUGUGAAAAAAAAUAAAAAGAGCAAACAGCCCAACAGUAAAAACAUGGCGCCCUUGAGAGCAGCUAGAAGCUACAUGCUGCGUAAACUCACCUCACUCAUUCAAAACUGAAAGUAGGCCAGGACUUGUGUAAUCCCAUCACUCAAGACCCAGAAACGAGUAGAUCUCUGAGAAUUCAAGGUUAGUUGCAUCUACAGAGGAAGUUCAAGGCUCAAUCAAGGUCAGUCAUGGCUGCAUAGUGAGACCAUCCUUCAAAACCAAGGCAACAGAAAACAACAACAACAAAAAUAUGGCUUUCUUGAAUCAUUCUCUGAACUGUACAUAUAUUGACGCCUUAAAGAGUUCCAACAUCUAA